rnacentral:rRNA from 1 species
AGUGAACGCUGGCGGUAGGCCUAACACAUGCAAGUCGAACGGCAGCACAGUAAGAGCUUGCUCUUACGGGUGGCGAGUGGCGGACGGGUGAGGAAUACAUCGGAAUCUACUUUUUCGUGGGGGAUAACGUAGGGAAACUUACGCUAAUACCGCAUACGACCUACGGGUGAAAGCAGGGGAUCUUCGGACCUUGCGCGAUUGAAUGAGCCGAUGUCGGAUUAGCUAGUUGGCGGGGUAAAGGCCCACCAAGGCGACGAUCCGUAGCUGGUCUGAGAGGAUGAUCAGCCACACUGGAACUGAGACGCGGUCCAGACUCCUACGGGAGGCAGCAGUGGGGAAUAUUGGACAAUGGGCGCAAGCCUGAUCCAGCCAUACCGCGUGGGUGAAGAAGGCCUUCGGGUUGUAAAGCCCUUUUGUUGGGAAAGAAAAGCAGCAGGUUAAUACCCCGCUGUUCUGACGGUACCCAAGGAAUAAGCACCGGCUAACUUCGUG